CGCCCGACGUUCGGCCGAUCGUCGCGUUAGCCGAUUCGCUAAUAGGUCGAUAACCUCGCCGUUUUCUCACUGUGCUGCUUCAAUUCGGCUUCAGCCCCCAGCGGAGCGCGGACCGGAGCAUAGCGGGCGACUGGAUCAGGCGGGCAGUAAUCUGCGGAGAUGGACGAGGAGAUAGAGGAGGGAAUGCUCAUAGAAGACGAGACCGAGCCCCCGCCGCAGGAGAGCGAAACGGGCAAAAUAUCGCCUUACGAAAUGCUGCGAGAGAGCAAGAGUUCUGUGGAGGAGAUCGUAACCAAGAUGCUCUCCAUCAAGAAGCAUGGCGAGCCAAAAACUCAGCUCAGAGAACUCGUAACGCAGAUGUUCCUUCACUUCGUAACCCUUCGCCAGGCGAACCGCUCUAUUUUGCUGGAAGAGGACCGGGUGAAAGCUGAAACAGAGCGAGCAAAAGCUCCAGUAGACUUCACCACGCUGCAACUUAACAACUUGAUGUAUGAAAAGAGUCACUAUGUUAAAGCAAUAAAGGCCUGUAAAGACUUCAAAUCAAAGUAUCCUGAUAUCGAACUCGUGUCUGAGGAUGAGUUUUUCCGGGAUGCACCGGAGGAUAUCAAGAACUCCAUAAGGUCAAAAGACAGCGCGCACAAUCUGAUGCUGCAGAGGCUUGACUAUGAGCUCUUCCAGCGCAAAGAACUAUGCAAACGGCGAGAUGAACUUGAACAGCAUAAGAAAAGCCUUCUAGAAGUCAUUGCUAAUAGAAAGAAAUUCUUAUCAAGUCUUCCCUCACACCUCAAGUCCUUGAAAAAGGCAUCCUUGCCCGUACAGAAUCAGUUGGGGAUGUUGCAGACAAAGAAAUUAAAGCAACACCAGCUAGCUGAGUUACUUCCACCUCCUCUUUAUGUAAUCUACUCACAGUUCUUGGCACAAAAGGAAGCAUUUGGUGAAAAUAUUGAAUUGGAGAUAGUAGGAAGUGUCAAAGAUGCCCAAGCUUUUGCACGCCAUCAAGCAAAUAAGGAUGCUGGUGCAUCAACCAAUGUUGAGAGCUCCAAGUUGGAGGAUGAUGCCCCUGAUGAAGAUGACGAUGGCCAAAGGAGGAGAAAACGGCCAAAGAAGAUUCCGGCAAAGGUGAACAUUGAACAUGCAGGGAUAUAUCAAGUUCAUCCACUAAAGAUAAUCCUUCACAUUUAUGACAAUGAAACUUGCGAACCCAAGUCGAUGAAAUUGCUUUCUCUGAAGUUUGAAUGCUUGUCAAAGUUGAACAUUAUUUGUGUUGGGAUUGAAGGAUCUCAUGAAGGACCUGAGAAUAACAUCUUAUGCAACUUGUUCCCGGAUGACACUGGCCUUGAGCUGCCUCAUCAGUCAGCCAAACUUGUUGUUCGCGAAACUCUUUCAUUUAGUGAUAAGAGAACCUCUCGACCUUAUAAGUGGGCCCAACAUUUGGCUGGAAUUGAUUUUUUGCCAGAAUUGCCGCCAUUGGUGAGUGCACAAGAAUCUGCCAGUGGUGAAACUGUUAGAAGUGAUAUUGUAUCAGGCCUCUCAAUGUAUCGUCAGCAAAACCGCAUACAGACAGUUGUGCAAAGAUUGCGCUCUCGGAAAAAGGCUCAGCUGGCUCUUGUGGAACAGCUUGAUUCACUUGAAAAACUCAAAUGGCCAGUUCUGACAUGUGAUAAUGUCCCAUGGGCUUCACAUAAACCUUCAUGCUCUUUGCAAGGUUGGUCACUUGUAGGCUAUGCUACAAGUCAGGAAUCAUCUUUGAAUAUAAUGGAGAAAGAGAAAGUUCGGGAUCCUUUAGAUGUUGAUAUGCUUGGAAAAUCUGGCAUUUCAAGAGAAGAUAUUGACGGUGCUAGGGAAGAUGGGGAACUUCCUGCUCUAGUUUCAUCGACAUCUAUCUUAGAUAAUGCUCAACCUACUCCCUUAAGAACACCCAAUCUUGAGCAUUCUAAACAGCUAACUCUAAUUUCCAAAAGCAUUACACCUCAAACCAAUUACUCUAGGAUGCUAAGUUUCAGUAAACAUGACGAAGAUUAUGAGUUGAUGCUAGAUGUUGAUAGCGACCAGGAUGAGCCAAUGCAGACUGAGCUUGCAGCAGAUGACGUAGCUUCUAUUCCUUCCAACGACAUAACAAGAAAGACAUGGAUGGAUUAUGGGUCCAAGGAAUAUUGCCUUGUCAUGACCAGGAACACUGAUUCACCAGCCAAAAAUCUUAAGUUGCAAGCCAAGAUUAAAAUCAGCAUGGAGUAUCCUCUUAGGCCUCCUUUCUUUACUUUGAAUCUUUACACGAUCAAUUCUGAAGAAAACCGUGAUGAGAGUGAUGACUCUGAUUGGUAUAAUGAACUUCGGGCCAUGGAAGCUGAGGUGAAUCUUCAUAUACUUAAUAUGCUGCCUUUGGAUCAGGAGAACUAUAUAUUGUCUCAUCAAAUUUGUUGUCUUGAAAUGUUGUUCAACUACUGCAUCAAUGAGGCGUCCCGAUCCUCUGAAAGGAAAAAGAGUAGUUUUGUGAUUGAUGUUGGAUUAUGCAAACCUGUUAGUGGUAGUAUACAUGCUAGGUCAUUUAGGGGAAGGGAUCGUAGGAAGAUGAUAUCCUGGAAAGACAUUGAAUGCGCUCCCGGCUAUCCUUGUUAAAAAAUUUUAGGAUCUUAAAAUUAUUAUUAUGUGCCUUCUGUUACUCUGCUGGUGGGGGAACAGUUUUGUGGGAACCUGACUGCCUGAAAAAGAUGAAGAACGAAAUUAUUGUUUCUUGGCCAGUUUCUUCAGUAUUGAAAAUUUGAAAUAUUGAUUCAUGUAAUGGCCAUGGGUGGUCACAAGUGUGCCCAAUCCUGCAGGCUUGCAAUUCCCUAAAUUUUAAUUGCAGCUCUGGAGGAUGUUAUUCAGAAGUUCGAAAAGUGGGGGGAAGCUUUCGGGCAGGCACCAAGGAAA